rnacentral:piRNA from 1 species
UACUUUUGUAUUUCUUAAAAU